rnacentral:tRNA from 1 species
AGGAGUUUAGGAUACUCAAACCAUAGACCUUCAAAGUCUAAAAAAAAGGUGCAAACCCUCUAACUCCUG